CACCACCGUCGCCAUGCAGAUUGUAACCCUGUCGGGCCCCAGAGGGAUGGUCACACAGACUACACUGGAUCAGGGCAGAACAAAACCAGCCAAGAGAAGAAAACUGCUGGGGCCACAUGAGACUGUAAGAAACCCAAAUGUAUUCAGCUUCAAAGAAAAGUGCCUUUCAAAGCAGGGGCAGGUUUAUGGCCAGGCCCGGCAUCUCCUCGUCAGAGUCAUCAGUCGGAGGGUAGAACCGUUUCGCCUUGGCCAAGAAAUCUUCAGCUAUGUCGAGGUACACGAGGCGAUCCUGCAGAGGUGAAGACAGAGAAAGGAUGAACAGAUAUCGUUCAGGUGGCGGCUCCUUGCUGCUGAAGAUGGAGGUCUCGGUGUGCAACGUGUGUAGCAUGGCGCGUGCUGCCGGGGCAUUACGCAUGCGGUCAGCUGAGGCACCAGCAGAUACUGUCAGCAAUCCAAUGCGGGUCAUAUUCCUGGCCUGAAGCAGGGUGUAAAGCGUCCGGUCAUCAUCUCUUUCUGAGUGGCUGCGGUCUCCAGGUUCACUCCACAGACCCGAAAUCUUGGUAAAAGAAAAAAGGAAGACUGAUCUUUGCAUACCUGGCAGACACGACUCCUCCCGCUGCACCAGCAGAAACGUCGUAAGUCACCAAAGUGUUGUCGUCAACCCUCUGGAGGAUCUGAG